AUAAAAAGCCGUUUGGGGCAACAGAGUACUUUGAAAACCUUAGGCUUAGAGCGUCCUGGCUGGGGAAUUCUGGGAGUUGAAGUCCAGCCAUCUCAAAGGGAUUGAGGUUGAAAAACUGCGUUAUAGCAAAAAAUGGACCUCUGGACAAGAGUAUAUCAAGGUUACAUUCAAUGCUAGGAGUCGUUAUCAACCUGAAACGAUUAAAGAUGGCUUUAAAGCACCUCAACUGUAAACCGGGAGGAGAGAGAUGUAAUUUCUCGAUUGAUGUUAUUCUUGAUGUUAUAGAAAACCAUUUACCAAGGUGUGUGCAAGAAGAAGAGCCCUUAGAGUUACAGGACUGUGAAUCUCAGGUUUUUCUUUCUUGAAUAUCAAAUCUGGAGAUCACAAUCUUUUCAGACAGAUUUAUUCUUCCAUAUUUUUUUUUAAUUUUAGCAAUAUAACUUUUGGGAAGGAAGUAGGGCAAAAGUGGAAGUUAUGAAAUAUGCAUCUAAAGUAACCCAGAGACUCAUAUAAUCAAAGUGUAGGGUUAAACCUUUUAAAAACUUAAAUUAUGUACCUUCAUCCUGGAACUGUUGCUUGCAUGUGAGGCUGACUGGGGAAUUCUGGGAGUUGAAGUCUGCAAAUCUUGGCAAAACUGCCACGGUUGGACAGCUUUGCUCUAACCAAAACCACUACUUAGGUUGCUAUGAGAUAAACAUAAAUUUACUUUAUUCUGACCAUUUCCAUAGAUCUCAGGGGCUGAGAAAGAAAGAGGGAUCAAUCAUUUGCUGACUUACCUACAGGUCAGCAAAUCAAUCAUUUGCUGAUCUACCUACAGAUACAGUUUUUACAACUUCUUAACUGAAAACCUAGAAGUAUAUCAGACUGCAAUACGGAGCAGAAAAUUGAAUUAGGGUGAUUUAAUUUUAAUUUUCAUGCAUUCCAAUUAAUCUGUUGCAAUUAGGGCAUAAUUAAAUACAAAUGAUUUGUAUACUUUUAAUGUAAUGUUUGUUUUAUUCUACUGAUUUGAAAUGCUGUGAAAGAUUUGUUCUUCCAGUUAUUCAAAACACAAUUUUGAAAUGGAACCAAUUUAUUACAUUAAAACACACAGAAUGAUUCAUCUAAAUGCACAGAUACCCCAUUUCCCUACAGAAGUAGUGAUAAAUCUUCCUUCUGAAUCCCCAUUUUAUCUCUAUAACUUUAAACAAUAUUUUCUUCAAAUAUUUUCUCCAACUUUCUCUAUGCAAAAACCUCACAGAUGUAGGUUAGCAAGCGAAAAAAAGAGAUUGCCUUUUCUAAGUUCUAUAACAGAUUUCAAAGCUAACUGGAGAUUUAAACCCAGGCUAGAUAAUAUGACAUCCCAAUUUACUGCCUUCUCAAUGCUGGGCUACAGCUGUCAUGCUUCCUGAGAUUGAGGCACUGCUUCCAUAUUUGGAUUGCAAAACUUCAUACUACCAGUAAAAAAAUAACUUUCUGCGGAUUUUUCAUUUCUAGUCAUUGCCAUUUACAGGGGGAAAUACUCAUCUCCGUUUCAAGGCCAGUACUAUCCAAAUACAUUUUCGCGGUCAUGUGGCCAGCAUGAGAUCACGGAGCACUAUUAUCCUCCCACUGAAGUGGUAUUUAUUUAUCUACUUGCAUUUGUAUGCUUUCGAACUGCUAGGUUGGCAGGAGCUAAGGUGAAGAUGGGAGCUCACCCUGUUGCUUGUAGUCCGGGUCUCAAACUUGGGCCGACAAGCCCAGCAUUUUAAUCACUGAGCCACCCCACCCUGCUGCCCUAUAUUACCAGUAGAAAAAAGGAUCUUUCAUUAUCACUUUGCUACCAUCAAGAGUGUUAAAGUCCAUUUCCAUGGUAGCCUUCCUUAUCUUAAGGGAAUUGUGCUCUAAUAGACAAGGAAUGAAUCAGAUUGGAACAAGCUAUGAUAAGGUUUGUCAGAAAAAAGUGCUGAUAGACUUGCAUUCUAUAGCACUUUUGCAUGGCUUUUGGUUAUGGAAAUUAGUAUGUUGGGAAGGUACCCACUGGAGAAGAUUACCAGUUGUCAGGAAUCACAUGCAAUAAACUAGAGAGUUUGGGGUUAUACUGUUAGUUUUGGAAAGCAAAUGUUUGCUUGUAUAAAUAUACAUUUUGUAUGUGUGUGUGUGUGUGUGUAUGCACGUGUACAUACCGGUAUUUAUAUUACAAUACCACUUUAUAGCAAACCUAUUUUUAGUAGAGAAAAGGGUAAAAGCAUGUAACUAAUCUAUGUACAGCAUAUAAAUGUUGACUGAAAUCAUUAAAACCCCAAGGUUUCCAUCAGAGCCUGAAAACAUAAAGAAAGCUUUGUCUGGUGCAAAGAUAAAAUCAUGAAAAAGAUGCCAGAUAACCAAAGCUUUUUGUACAGGUAGUUCUUGACUUACGACUACAGUUGAGCCCAAAAUUUAUGUUGCCAAGUUGAGUUUUGCCCCAUUUUACAACUUUUCUUGCCACAUUUGUUAAGUGAAUCAUUGCAGUUGUUAAAUUAGUGACAUGGUUGUUAAGUGAGUUUGGAUUCCCCAUUCAUCUUGCUUAUCAGAAGUUUGCAAAAGGGGAUCACAUGACUCCAGGACAUGGCAACUGUCAUAAAUAUGAGUCAGUUGCCAAGCAUCUGAAUUUUGAUCAUGUGACCAUGGGGAUGCUGCAACGGUCGUAAGUGUGAAAAAUGAUCAUGUCACUUUUUCAGAGCAAUUGUAGCUUUGAAUGGACAUUAAAUGAACUGUGGUACGUCGGGGACUACCUGUACUCUGCUUUUAAAAAGUCUCUUUUAAACUCCUUUUUUAAAUAAUCAGACAAAGGGAUAAAUAGAAGAGAGGAAAUUUUUCUGCUAUAAUAUAUGUAUAUCUGCUAUAAUAUCUGUAUAUCAGAGGUGGGGUUUAGCAGGUUCUCACCAGUUCUGAAGAAACGGUAGCGGAAAUUUUGAGUAGUUCAGAAAACCGGUAGUAAAAAUUCUGACUGGCCCGGUCCCAUUUAUUCUGACUCCUGAGUCCCAGCUGAUCAGGAGGAAAUGGGGACUUUGCAGUAAGCUUCCCUUGGAUUGGGGAGGGAAAGGAAGUUCUACAGUAUCCUUCCCUGCCAUACCCACCAAGCCACGCUCACAAGCCAUGCCACACCCACCAAGCCACACCCACAGAACCGGUAGUAAAUUUUGAAACCCACCACUACUGUAUGUGUACAUAACAUGAAGAUUGUAUUUCAGCAUGUGGUGACCGCCAUUUGGUAGCCAGCCAGAUUUUUAGAGAACGUUAAUGCACCCCUGCUUAUAUAAACCAUUGCUUAUUAACAAUAUAAAAUUGCUUAUUAGCAAUAUAAAGUAUAUAUGAGAGCCAGCUUGGUGCAGUGGUUAAGGCAUCAGACUAGAAACCGGGAGACUGUGAGUUCUAGUCUCACUUCAGGCUCAAAGCCAGUUGAGUUACCUUGAGCCAGUCAUUCUCUCAGCCCUAGGAAGGAGGCAAUGGCAAACCACUUCUAAAAACUCUUUGCCAAGAAAAUUGCAGGCAUUCUUCAAG